AGUCACUGACAUUAGAUACCCGUGUAGUCCAGGGUGUAAACGCUGCAGACUUGGUGUUGGAAGCCCUUUGGGGGCAUUCAGUGCCGAAGAGAAAUCGUGAAACGCACCACCUGGGAAGUACGGUCGCAAGGCUGAAACUUAAAGGAAUUGGCGGGGGAGCACCGCAACGGGAGGAGCGUGCGGUUUAAUUGGAUUCAACACCGUAAACUCACCAGGGAAGACUGUUACAUGAAGGCCGAGAUGAAGACUCUGCUAGAUUUUCAG
rnacentral:rRNA from 1 species